AUUGAACGCUGGCGGCAUGCCUUACACACGCAAGUCGAACGGCAGCACGGGAGCAAUCCUGGUGGCGAGUGGCGAACGGGUGAGUAAUAUAUCGGAACGUGCCCAGUCGUGGGGGAUAACGUAGCGAAAGCUACGCUAAUACCGCAUACGAUCUACGGAUGAAAGCGGGGGAUCGCAAGACCUCGCGCGAUUGGAGCGGCCGAUAUCAGAUUAGGUAGUUGGUGAGGUAAAGGCUCACCAAGCCGACGAUCUGUAGCUGGUCUGAGAGGACGACCAGCCACACUGGGACUGAGACACGGCCCAGACUCCUACGGGAGGCAGCAGUGGGGAAUUUUGGACAAUGGGCGCAAGCCUGAUCCAGCAAUGCCGCGUGCAGGAUGAAGGCCUU
rnacentral:rRNA from 1 species